AUUUUUCAUCUAUUUAUUAACAGACAAACUGCUUGUGGAAAUAAAAUCGUCUACCAUUUAACCCUCUGUGUAUGGAGAGACUAAGUGUACCAAACUAAAUGGAACUUGUACUAAAAAGACAACAGACAAAAAUGACGGACAUAAUAAAUACCCCUGAGAUUCUGUGAAGCUCCUCUCCACUUGAUAGCCAUUUUGAUUGGAAUCUGCACAUUGCUGCCUUUCAAAAUCAAAUUCAGAGAUAUGCUCUAGACCAUGCUGGUUGUGAAGCAAGAUGGGGACAAGGCAAGAUCUGGAUAGCGAGGUAGCCAUGACAUCAACCCUGAAAGAAAACAAGCCAAACAGAAAAUGACCCAAGCAAGUGUCAUUUUUUUACCAGUGCUAUAUAAGGGUGGGAAAGUUUUUUUUCAGAAUAGGGCCAGAUAGCCAUAAGAAGCUAACAAUAGUUACAUGCUAAUCAUUUUGAUUUUUAAUUCACUCCAUGACUUCAUGCAGGGAUGGCCUGGCAUUACCAUACGAUUCAGCCCACAUAUUGCUUGCCAUGUGAUGUGCAUCUAUUGGUCUUCUCAGAGCUAACAUGCUUCUUUUUCCAUCCAUGUUUGGUAACAUAUUCAACAAUUAAUAGUUGUGAUUAGUGAAUGACUUUGCAGCAGAGUAAUCCUAAGAUGAAUAUGACUAACUGGAAAUGUUAUGUGUCAAUUUCAGAAACAGAGGAUUUAUAGAUUCAAAUGAAUAAACAAAAGAGAGACUGGAAUACUACAUGGAGGUUCUAGUGGACAUAAAAGCAGUACAGCUUUCCAUUAAAUGAUUGGGAUGUUACAGCCCAAUACUGAAGCACUUUAUGAACACUACAUAAGCACCAUAGCUUCACUGACUUUGAGUUAUCAAAAAAAUAACAAGCAGAGACUGAGACAUUUAUAAUUACUGAGACAUACAAUUUUUGUUCAUCGUCUCUUUGAUAAAACAUGAAGAGGAACAAUUAGGACAGACAUGCUAAUGAAAUGAAGACUGUCAAUGGCUUACAAACAAAUGGUUUAUCAUUUUAUACUUAUGAAAUGCACUUAAGCCAAAAACAAAGCAAAAAGGAAAUCAUCA
rnacentral:sRNA from 13 species